rnacentral:lncRNA from 1 species
AGGAUUGUUGCCAAUUUUUAAUGAUCAUUUUAAUUUUGUUUUGUAGUUCCAGAAGUUUUUUUGGCUUAAACAUUAAAGGACGUUUUUAUCUUUUCUCAUAUUUUUAAUGUUUUAAUUGUUAAAACAUGCUAGGCAUUUACUUUAAAUUCUGACAGACCAAAUUUUGAGGUCUUUGUGCGUUGAUUUCAGCUAUAUGAUAUUUCUGCGAAGUUUUCCUCACUAGGUUUUGUUUCCUUUAGCGACUUUUUUUUUUUUUUUUUUAACUGUAAGCUUAGGCUCUUUUGAAAUUCUUUGAGGUCUGUAUUGAAGGUGUUUUUUUUUUUUUUUUUUUGUUUUUUUGUCCUUUUUUAGGGCCGCUUCCCACGACAUAUGGAGGUUCCCAGGCUAGGGGUCCAAUCGGAGCUGUGUCUGCGACCUACCUCCCAGCUCAUGGCAACACCAGAUCCUUAACCCACUGAGGGAGGCCAGGGAUCCAACCCGAACUCUCAUGGAUACUAGUUGAGUUCAUUACCACUGAUCAAUGACGGGGACUCCUGAAGGUGUUUUUAUCCGGAGUGAAUUCGCUUUUGUGUGUUGUGAAUUCGCUUGUGUGUGUGUGUGUGGCAUUAACAGCCCUGGAUCCCUCCCUCUAAGUUUAAUUUCUGUGUUUGAGGCUUCUUGUGUCAGAAAGAUAAUAUAGGCUUCAUGCUUGGCCAGUGAUGAAGUUAUGAGUUCUCUGGAAAAUAUCAUCCCACUCUCUCCAGUGCUGAAGUCUAGUGGCAACUUCCUUGCUGUCCCUUCCAUGGAGUGGGUUUAUUCUAAUUCAGACUAAGGUUAUAUGCUCCUUUGGCAUCCAGGUCUGUUCAGGAGUUCGGCCCUGGCACAGUCUCCCAUGUCUUGUACCCUGGCUGCAGUCAGAACGGAAGUCAGCAUCCCCCUGGUAGCCACAUGGCCUCAGUGAGAGAACUAGCUUCAGACUUGACUCAUCUCUCUGGUUUGCUGCUUUUGCUUUAGUAGAAUCAGUGGUGUUAUUUAAUCCAAUGCUAUUUUCCUUUCUUGUCAUAUGGAUGACAGAAUAUUAUUUUCCAUUUUUCUCUUUUUAAAUAGAACUUCUUCUAUGCCUUGAUUUUUUUUUUUUUUAUGAUAAAACCUUUCAGUUGUGCAAAAAAGAUGGGGUAGGAUGGAUAGGAAGUGUAUGACCUGAGUUUCUAUGCCUUGAUAGUGUUUUUUUUGGUUUUUUUGUUUUUGUUUUGUUUUUUCUUUUUCUUGUUUUGUCUUUUUAGGGCCGUACCCACGGCAUGUGGAAGUUUCCAGGGAUCAAACCCAAGUCCUCCUAGACACUAGUCAGGUUCAUUACCACUGAGCCACCAUGGGAAAUUCCAUUGUAGUAUUUUGUCAUAUUUGCCAUGUGUGCAUGCGUGCAUGUGUAUAAUUUUAUGAACCAUUUGGAAGUCUGUGACAUAUAUCACGUCACUUAACCCUGCAUGUUUUGCUGUACAUCUUCUGAAAAUAAGGAUAUUCUCCUUUAUAAUCACUAUACCAUAUCAUACCUUAGAAAAUGAAUAAGAAGUCUCUAAUAUUUUGUCUGACACCUCGUCCAUAUUUAAAUUCCCCAGUUGUCCCUAAAUAUAUGUUAUAUAUAUUUUUCCCCUAAAAUGGGAGUAAUGUAGUGAUGCAUUUUUAAAGAUAUUUAUUUGUCAGUAGGGCUAUUUGGUUCACCAUACUUUCAGAUGUGGAAACAAACUUUAUUGUUUGGCCUUUUCUGAACUUUGCUUCUUGACUACUACAUUUUUCUAGUAGCCAAAUUACUGGUUUUUUUGUUCUUUUUUUUUUUUGCUUUUUAGGGCCGCACUGGCGCCAUAUGUCCCCAGGCUAGGGGUCCAAUCAGAGCUGCAGCUGCUGGCCUACACCACAGCCACAGCAAUGUGGGAUCCGAGCCAUGUCUUCCACCUACACCAUAGCUCACGGCAACGCCAGGUGCCUAACCCACUGAGCAGGGCGAGGGAUCAAACCCACAUCCUCAUACAUACUAGUUAGGUUCGUUACUGCUGAGCCAUGAUGGGAACGUCUAGAAUUACUGUAUCUUUUGCUCUCUAUUCACUUUCCUUGUGAAUUGCUUAUUAUUUGGUAUGCAGUUAAAGAACUAUAAUUUAGUUGAAAAACUGUUUUACUUCCUUUUAAAAGAGUUGUCUCUCUCAAGUGGAGGAUCCGGAAGAGGUUAGCUCAUUGUCUUUCUUCCAAAUAGCUACAUAUUCUAAGUUUUGUUCCGUCAAGGGAUUGACCUCACCUAAGGUGCCACCUCUGGGUAUCCAAUUAAAAAAAAAAAAAAAGACAUUUGUCUUUACAGCAGAAAAUCAAUUUGUCCUUGGACUUUUCUUUGGGCCUCUGAAUUCUACUGAACCCUAUCAUGUCCUGAUGCUGGUCACCCCAGCUGCCUGCAGAUAGGACAGAGAAGUUGAAGACAAAGAGUGAUCCGAGGUAGGACUUGGGGAGAAGACAGAUGGAUAAAGAUUUCUUCUUGAACAUAAAUCUAUCUGAAUGUUGCUACUCAUUACCGGUAACUUUCCUUAGAGCUUAAGACUUGAGGAAUUUAGUGUGGCCUGACAUACUUUUACAAAGGCUCGGGAUUAAAAAAAAAUAUUGCUGUUGAAUAAUAAUAAACACCAUGUAGGAAAUAUGGCUGCCCUGCUUCUUUUUGAAGAUUUCGUAGUUAUUUACGUAUUUAGCUACACACAUGAAGCCCCCAUGUUUGCGUUUUUCUUUGCCACUGACUUCACAUCAGCUCAGUAGGAUUUUAAAUAUUUAUAUUUCAUAUUUUCCGGCACCUGCCCCAUGACAAUAUACAUAGACCAUGCAAACAAAGAUGUAUUUAGUGAAGAGAUUGUGAAACUGUUUUAUUACUGUUCUGCUCUCCAUCGGAAAUGAAGCUGCUUUUUCAAACACUGUUUAGGCAUGCUGUCUAGCAGUCAGUAAUUGUGCCGAUUAUAAUCAUGAGCUUCUCUUCAACAUGUGUAUGGCUAUUGUGGUAAUAACUGGUGAAUCAUUGCAUUUUAAUUUGAGUGAAUAAAAAAUAGAAAGCUCAGCAGAAGCAUGCAUUAGGGAGGUAAAAAAUCUUAAAAGAAAAAAAAGAGGGGGGAAAAAAGAAAAUAAGGUAUAUCCAUGAAUUUUAACUUACUAGAUAGUGGAAAAGUGACUUUGAUAAUAGAAUGUACAUAUAUAUAUAUGCUUUUAUAGUACUGCUGAUAUAAACAUGGGCAUAUAAUUAUUUGGGUUCAGUUGGUUUAGCUGCAGAAUGACUUUUCUGCAUCCCUCUUCGUUUGUUUUUAAAUGUUCAUUCCUCAGUAAUCAGGAGGUUCUGUUUCUUGAUUUUUUUAGAUUAAAAUAUCCCAUUAGCUGUCGUUGGAAGGGUUCUAAAAUAUUUUCAGUGACCAUUAUGGAAAAUGUUGGAUAGCACAGAACUGUCUCUUGGCAUGCCAGAACCCAGUGGUCUAAAACAGUCUUUGCCCUGCUUCUUGGGGGCAUAUUUAUUUUNCAGUCUUCGCCCUGCUUCUUGGGGGCAUAUUUAUUUUAUAGUUAUUUAUUCACGUCCACAUGCUAAUGGUUAGAUUCCUUGGUUUUUACGUUAACUCCUUAAUGUAUUUCAUCCAUCCUACAAUAGAUAAGCUGAUACUGUUAACUUUAACAGCUUGAUUUCAAAUCUCAUGUCUUGUCCUUUCCCUUUACUUUAACCCCAUGUGAUUAAUUGAGAAUCGGGUUUGCUCUUCCUGAGAUUUCUUUCCUUCCUUUGCUUCCAUGUUCUAGCACAGACUGGACACUUCCAGCUAGAUUGCCAUGACAUUUGAUACUUGUCUCUUUCCUCUUUGGUCCGUUUUGCAUGCUUUUAUCAAAUAAAUCUUUAGAAAAAGUUAUCACUUGCCUACUGAUCAGUGAUCUAGAAUGUGACAUCUAUUCUCUGACUAGAUUUGAAGACCCCUCUCUUGGCUAUUUCAACAUCAUUAUCACAGCUUGGCAUCAUGAAGACCAUGUUCCAUUUCGGCAAUACCAUCCCUUUGUUAAAAAAAUUAAAAGGUGUGGCUGAUUCUGGAAAAUGGGGAAGAGAGUAUGUGUUUAAUUCAGUACCUAGAAGUUAAACUAUGGCCAAAUGACUGCAUCUUUAGCUUCCUGAUGCCAGGAGGUAGAUGUUGGUGUUAUAGGAGAGCCAUCAGACAGGGCAGAUUAUGGGAGACAUUUCUCCAGAGUUCUUGAUAGCAGAAGUUCAGAAGAUAAAAAGCUAGGAUACCCCAGGCGUCACCAAAAGGUGCUUUUUGAAGGAAAAGGAACUUUAUUGAGUGAGAGAGAACAGCAGGACAGGAGGAAAAGUUCUUUAGUCGUAAGCAGGUUUAAAACGGGGGGGUUGCUCAAAGCCAGUGGCCAUUACGGUUGUUUUGGGGAUCACGGGGAGGUCAUUAAGCUGAAGGGAAUAGAGCCAGAGAGGGGAGCAGCGGGUUAGGAAUGAUCAUGACCUUUGAACAGGGCCACUCUCCUGGCCUGGAAAUGUAGCCUAGAUAGGGCCUGUCUGACACAAACCAGGAAGCUGGGUGUCCCAUUGCUCUGUCCUGGCAGACUCAGGGGCGGGGGGAAUUGUGUGCCUGAGAACAUCUUGCUCCGUGUUUUGCUCAUGCUCUUCCUUUGAAAGAGCUUUCUCCUGUCUGUUUACCCAAAGGUCACAUGUGCUGGGAUGGGAGGAGCACAGACCUAGGAGGUAAACUGACCUAGACUUGAGUUUUGUCUUCUUGCUAGUUGACUGGGUGACCCUGGCCAAGUUACUUCACCAUUCAAAACUCCAGUUUCCUCCUUUGAUAGUGGAAAUACUCAUAUAUUCUCUGCUGGUGUAAGGGUUGAAAAAUCGAUCCCUCAGUUUUGGGGCUUAGAAAACUGCUUUUUUCAGCACCUACAGUCUCUGAGAAAAAGAUGAUGUGAAAUCUUCUGUAUCUGCACAGAUAUAAUGUGAAAUCUAGAGAAGGAUUUAAAGAAAUACGGAUUUCCCUUGACAAGGUUCUCUUAAUUUUAUUUGUUUCUCUACAAGUUUGACCCUUUGGUCUCCGCUGGCAGAGAGUUAGCAAUGGUAGAUAGCAUAGUCACGGGCCCCAGAUGGUCCUAGAAACUCCUUUUAUGAAAAGGCAGUACAUUUUGAUACAAGAGAAAUGCUGUGCCUGAAACCCCUGAAAGUCAUUGAAGGAGAACAAGUUAGUGAAAUAUAUCCCUAACAUCUCAAGAAUAUUCUAACAGUAUUUGUGUGUCCUGUGCUUGGUGCAUGUUUGUUGAAUUGUUAAAUAAAGGAAAAUUUUCUUUAGAUUAAAUUAAAUCAUAUGCCUUUAUUAUUACCGUUCUCUGUGAAAAUAUUGACUCAGUUUAUCCGAUGUUUUGGAAGUACAAAACAGUUGAUCUAAAAAUACUUUUGAAAUUUAAGUACAUCAGCUUGUCUGUACUUAAGAGACCAGUGAGGGCUGAAGUUCUGAGUUGAAAUUUUAAAAUCUAUUCAUGGAAGUUCAAAUAAGAUUCUGAUAUAUUUUGUUUAUUAGGGCAUUUUUCUGAUGACAAAAUAUGUGAUUGACAGUGUGAAUAAAUUCGAAAGGCAUAGAAGAAGUAAAGGAGGAGUUCCCGUCAUGGCGCAGUGGUUAACGAAUCCAACUAGGAACCAUGAGGUUGCGGGUUCAGUCCCUGCCCUUGCUCAGUGGGUUGAUGAUCUGGCGUUGCCGUGAGCCGUGGUGUAGGUUGCAGACGCGGCUCGGAUCCCGCGGUGCUGUGGCUCUGGCAUAGGCUGGUGGCUACAUCUCCGAUUCAACCCCUAGCCGGGGAACCCCCAUAGGCCGUGGGAGCGGCCCAAGAAAUGGCAAAAAGACAAAAAGACAAAAAAAAGAAAAAAA